UGGGGAAUAUUGGACAAUGGGCGCAAGCCUGAUCCAGCCAUGCCGCGUGUGUGAAGAAGGCCUUCGGGUUGUAAAGCACUUUUGGCGGGGAGGAAGGGCUGUAGGUUAAUACUNUGNUGUUUUGACGUUACCCNCAGAAUAAGCACCGGCUAACUCCGUGCCAGCAGCCGCGGUAAUACGGAGGGUGCAAGCGUUAAUCGGAAUUACUGGGCGUAAAGCGCGCGUAGGUGGUUGGUUAAGUCGGAUGUGAAAUCCCCGGGCUCAACCUGGGAACUGCAUUNGAAACUGGCAAGCUAGAGUNUGGUAGAGGGGGGUGGAAUUCCNGGUGUAGCGGUGAAAUGCGUAGAGAUCGGGAGGAACACCNGUGGCGAAGGCGGCCCCCUGGAC
rnacentral:rRNA from 1 species